CCCGGCAUUAGGAACGACCGAAUCCAACUCAAUUUGAGAGGUUAUUUUCUUUGGGGAAGACGCCGAGGAUGACAUGUCUAUCGACAGCCUGGGACUGACGCUGCAUGACGGAGCCUCCUCCGAUGAAGACGAGAUGGAGGAGGACGGUGGGGGGUCAGGCGAGUGGCGGUGGAGGGAUGAGGACCUCGUCCGCGCCUCUAACGCAACAUCAGAAGGUUCCCUGGUUCCUGAGGGCUCUGGAUCAGAACAAGAGCCAGACGCAGAGACAGGCGAGGCCGGGUUCCAGUCAAAGCCGUCCAGGGCGCUGCAAGCCUUGGCCCAGACAGCUUCCUCUGGUCAGGAGCGGCGUGGCGGCGGCCUGGAUGGGUUCCUGACUCUGGGUUUGGACCUCCAGUCCACCAGCUACGGCGGUCCUCCGGAACACACAGAGCCCAACGAGGAGAACCAGCGGGACCCAAUGCAGCCGCCGGGCCCAGACACAUUCCACCCAGGGGCAGUGAGCUGGAGGCCCAGUAGUAGUCUGCGAGCCCGUGCCCAGGAACACCUGGUUAGCACCGUGAUGAAGGACAGCCAGAGUCGGCCAACCGGUGUUCAGCAUCGCUCUGCCCCGCCCACUGUGAGAAGAGACAUUUCUACUUACAAGCCAGGAUUAUCAGGAUCACCACGGUACCCCCUCUCUGCUCGGUCCACCUCGGCCCGGCGCCCCGCUCCGGCAGAGGAACUCUCCCCCCUCCUCUCUCUCUCCCGUCUCCCUCCC
ensembl:lncRNA